rnacentral:rRNA from 1 species
AAGGUUGCAAUCACCAGUAUGUCAGCUAAGGCUUCAGAACGUACGUAUAGAUGCUCAGAUGAUUCACAAAUGGCGUACUACAACAACUCGGUGCCUUUAGCAGAAAAUGGACGGUUCUAUAUGAUGCAAAAUCAUCUGGAUGUUCACUACACAUCUUCAGGUGAUGGGUCACAGAAAAUUAGUUCCAAUCCUCAAGUAUUUGAAGCACAGUACUGCACACUCGAAUCAUCAUCGGCAAAUGGUGUUUAUCCUACACAGAGCUCCACAUCUUCUCAUAGCAUCUCCCCUAUAAGUGGGAGCCCCCUGUCUCAGAAUGAUAGCCACUCAUACCACACAUAUGAUUCACCCCCAACUGCUUCAUGUGUUACCGAGAUACCGGAUUUCCAGAGUAAACUAAAGGAGCUAGAAAAUGCAAUUCUUGGACCUGAAUUGGACAUAGCCUUUGACAGCCCCGAGAGCUUAUUGCAAGCCAACCAUCCUUUGAAACAAGAUAACUGGAGACAGCUUCUGGGAAUUAACACAGGAGACUUGAAGCAGGUGAUCAUAGCAUGCGGUAAGGCUGUUGCUGCGAAUGAUAUGUAUGCGACAGAACUAUUGAUAUCUGAGCUAGGUCAGCUGGUGUCUGUCUCUGGAGAUCCAAUGCAACGCCUAGGAGCGUAUAUGUUGGAAGGCCUUGUGGCCAGGCUCUCUUUCUCUGGAAGUAAGCUGUAUAAAUCCUUGAAGUGCAAAGAACCUACAAGCUCUGAGCUCAUGUCUUACAUGCAUCUCCUCUGUGAGAUCUGCCCAUUCUACAAGUUUGGUUACAUGUCAGCCAAUGGUGCCAUAGCAGAGGCUAUCAAAGGCGAGAACUUCGUUCACAUCAUCGAUUUCCAAAUCGCACAGGGAAGCCAGUGGAUAACUAUCAUUCAGGCUCUUGCAGCGAGGCCUGGGGGUCCACCAUUCCUAAGAAUCACUGGUAUAGAUGACUCAAACUCUGCUUAUGCCCGAGGUGGUGGACUGGAUAUGGUUGGGACAAGAUUGCACAGUGUGUCUGCAUCGUGUGGCCUGCCCUUUGAGUUCAAUGCUAUUCAUGCUGCUAGCCAUGAGGUUUAUAUUCAGCAUCUUGACAUAAGACCUGGGGAGGCUAUUGUAGUGAAUUUUGCCUAUCAGCUGCACCAUACUCCUGAUGAAAGUGUGAGCAUGGAAAAUCACCGGGACAGGAUCGUAAGAAUGAUCAAGAGCCUGUCCCCUAGGGUGGUGACUCUUGUUGAGCAGGAGUCGAACACAAACACAAGUGCAUUCUUGCCAAGGUACUUGGAGACUCUCGACUACUAUACGGCAAUGUUUGAGUCAAUAGACGUUGCUCUCCCAAGGGAUGACAAGAGACGGAUUAGCACGGAGCAGCACUGUGUCGCAAGGGAUAUCGUCAAUUUGAUCGCGUGCGAGGGUGCUGAAAGGGUUGAGAGGCACGAGGUGUUUGGGAAAUGGAAGGCGAGGUUUGCAAUGGCUGGAUUCAGGCCGUACCCUCUGAGUUCGGUGGUGAACAACACCAUCAAAACGCUGCUGGAUAGCUACCACAGUUGCUACAGGCUUGAGGAGAGGGACGGGGUCCUUUACCUUGGUUGGAAGAGCAGAGUGUUGGUCGUGUCUUCUGCAUGGUGCUGA